rnacentral:rRNA from 1 species
ACUCAAAGGAAUAGACGGGGGCCCGCACAAGCGGUGGAGUAUGUGGUUUAAUUCGAUGCAACGCGAAGAACCUUACCUACUCUUGACAUGGUGCGAAGGAGGAAGAGAUUUCUCUGUGCCGAAAGGAACGCACACACAGGUGCUGCAUGGCUGUCGUCAGCUCGUGUCGUGAGAUGUUGGGUUAAGUCCCGCAACGAGCGCAACCCUUAUCUCCAGUUACCAGCACGUAGAGGUGGGGACUUUGGAGAGACUGCUGAUCGUAUGAUCGGAGGAAGGGGGGGAUGACGUCAAGUCAUCAUGGCCCAUACGAGUAGGGCUACACACGUACUACAAUGGUCGUUACAGAGGGAAGCGAAACUGUGAGGUGGAGCGAAUCCCAGAAAGGCGAUCGUAGUCCGGAUUGGAGUCUGCAACUCGACUCCAUGAAGCCGGAAUCGCUAGUAAUCGCAGAUCAGAAUGCUGCGGUGAAUACGUUCCCGGGCCUUGCACACACCGCCCGU